rnacentral:rRNA from 1 species
GCCAACUAGCUAGCCCGUCCAAACAACUACAACAAACCACUAUUAAUACCCCUAAAUACCCAAGUAUUAAACCAGAUAAACCAUUUUACCCCCUUAGUAUGGGAGACAGAAAAGGGACCACGGAGCAAUAGAGAAAGUACCGCAAGGGAAAGCUGAAAUAGAAAUGAAACAACCCAGUUAAGCACAUAGAAGCAGAGAUUAAAUCUCGUCCCUUUUGCAUCAUGAUUUAGCUAGUGAAAUUCAAGCGAAGGGCCCUUUAGUUUGAAAACCCGAAGCUAAGGGAGCUACUCCAAGACAGCCUAGUAAUAGGGCAAACCCGUCUCUGUUGCAAAAGAGUGGGAAGAGCUUUGAGUAGAGGCGAUAGACCUACCGAACUUAGUUAUAGCUGGUUACCCAAGAAAUGGAUAGAAGUUCAGCCUCGUAGCUUCUCUCUUCACAUUUAGAGUUAGGAAGUUUUUUCCAACCCUACCACCCCUGAUAUAUAAGAAACCGCGAGAGUUAGUCAAAGGGGGCCCAGCCCCUUUGAAUCAAGAUACAACUUUUACAGGAGGAUAAAGAUCAUAAUAUUUAAGGUAAAACCUCACGUGGGCUCGAAAGCAGCCACCCCUUGAAGAAAGCGUCUUAGCUCGGAACAAUUUUACCACCCAUAAAUACCGAUCACUUAAUCUUAGUCCCCUAAUUUUAUUGGGUCGCCCCAUGCAAACAUGGGGGCGACCAUGCUAAUAUGAGUAAUAAGAAAGCCCCCGGCUUUCUCCUUGCACAGGUGUAACUCGGUACGGACAUACCGCCGAACUCUAACGGCCCCAAACAAAGAGGGAACUGAAUGAAAAAUCAAAUAACCAGAAAAGUAUUCAACAAAUAACCGUUAAUCCUACACAGGCGUGCUUAAAAGGAAAGACUAAAAGAAAGAGAAGGAACUCGGCAAAUACAAAAGCCUCGCCUGUUUACCAAAAACAUCGCCUCUUGUAAUUUUAUUAAAUAAGAGGUCCCGCCUGCCCGGUGACUAUACGUUCAACGGCCGCGGUAUUUUAACUGCGCGAAGGUAGCGAAAUCAUUUGUCUUUUAAAUGGGGACCAGUAUGAACGGCACGACGAGGGCUUGACUGUCUCCUUUUUCAAGUCAGUGAAAUUGAUCUUCCCGUGCAGAAGCGGGAAUAUAAACAUAAGACGAGAAGACCCUAUGAAGCUUUAGACACAAGGUAGCCCCUGUUAAACAACUCUUGAUAAAGAACUAAACUUGGCUAAUUCUACCCUAAUGUCUUUGGUUGGGGCGACCGCGGGGUAAAAAGUAACCCCCACGUGGAACGGGAAUAUAACAUUUCCUCGAGUCCUGAGCUACCGCUCUUGGCAGCAGAAUUUCUGACCAUAUGAUCCGGCAACGCCGAUCAGCGAACUAAGUUACUCUAGGGAUAACAGCGCAAUCCCCUUAUAGAGGCCGCAUCAUUAAGGGGGUUUACGACCUCGAUGUUGGAUCAGGACAUCCCAGUAGUGCAGCCGCUAUUAAGGGUUCGUUUGUUCAACGAUUAAAGUCCUACGUGAUCUGAGUUCAGACCGGAGUAAUCCAGGUCAGUUUCUAUCUAUGAUGUGUUCUUCCCCAGUACGAGAGGACCGAAAAGAAGAAGUCACUAUUUUAAACACACUUCACCCCCACCCGAUGAAGGCAACUAAAAUUGGCAAGGGGACACAUUCCCCCGCCAAAGAAAAUGGCA